AAGCAUGAAGCCCCCCUCAAGAUGAGACUUCCCAACUUCGGUUAUAAGAUCCCUCAAAGAUGAUGAGGUUAAUAGGUUCGGGGUGGAAGCAUAGCGAUAUGUGGAGCUGACGAAUACUAAUCGAUCGUAGACUUAAUCCAAUUU
rnacentral:rRNA from 1 species